GUGCGUGUGCGUGUGCGCGCAUGCGUGAUGCAAAGCAGAACGCAGAAAUGCAGGUAAAAGCCUCUCCGGCCGCAGAUUUCCAUCUGUCCCACACAGAGCACGUGAAACUGCCCUGGUGGAGAUAAAAUGAGCCCAGGGCUUUGGCUCCUCAGCCCCCAGGACUGGGAAGGGACGGAGAACUCUCAAAACGCCCGUCCCGCCACCUGCCCCAGCUCCCUGAGUCCCUUCCGACGGCUCUGCCACUUUACUCCGCUGUCACACUGAGGGGGUGCAGGAUGCCGCGGUUUCUCUUUUCUUAAGCCUCCUUGUGCUCCUUUUGCCGGCCUAUGGCGGUGGCUCCUCUGCCAGAGCCCAGCCCAGGAGGCGUUCCUGUCUGUGGGCGGUGCGGGAGGUGCCGGAACCGCAUGUGGCUGGGCCCUGGCAGUACUGCCAAGAGCCCCGUGUUGCAGAAAGUUCUUUUCCGUUCUAACAGUCUUCCCUUGUUGCACCGGGUCUGGCAGAACAGGCCUCGGGGGCAGGAGUGUCCUAGGACUGGAGAGGAUACCCCCGGAGAUGGGAAAGGCAGAAGGAAAGAGAGCCCUCUGGGCUAAGACCUCAGCGCUCCUCAGCCUGAUGCUUCAGGCUCCACCACCCGACCGCCUGAUUUCAGUCUCCCAGGACUUGAACAUCAGGAGCUUGACGGGCCUGGCCCCGCACAGACUGACUCCACAGAUGCACUCCGGUAAGCGCACGUCCACGGCCCCGGCUCUGUGCCCACAUGGGAGCAGAACGCACACCGAUCUUUCCACGUGACAGACUUUCAAGAUUGGCUCGCAGGAGGAGCUUGACUUCUGUUUGGACGUUCCUGUGGUCUGAACAUCACACCCUUCAGGAGGCAGUAGUGGCACAUAGCUGUAAUAGGCUCUCUUCCCAGAGUAGCAGCAGCCUUCCUACCACCCAGUUCCAAGCAGAACUGCCAGAGCCUUCUGUGGAGAGAACCCCAGCCCAGACUUCAAGAUGCUGACAUUUGGAUGUCUUUCCGGAAACAACAAACCCCCAGCUAGAGCAAUGGUUCUCCACCGGAGGGUGAGGGGGGUUCCCCCCAGACAUUCUGGAGAGAGUCUUGUCGCCGCUGGGCUGGCACGUAGUGGGGAGAGGCCAGGGAUGCUGCUAACACCCUCCAGCACACAUGACACCCCCACAUGGAUGCACCUGCUCUACACUGUCAAUCGCGCCACACUGGAGAAACUCGGCCUCAGGUGUCUGCGCACUGGCUCUCUGCCAAGGGCCCUUCUCUACCUCUUCUGGAUUAGUAGUCGGGCUGUUUCAUGGUACUCAACCUUCUCAAAUGUUAAAGACUGAGCUGACUUACGAUACUUUAUGAAGAUUCACCGGGUUUUCAAACUUCCCUCAGCCUCACGCACAGGUCUGCAGCUGGACUAUUUUGUGAGAAUGCACGGCACAACCUGAAUUUGUGGAGUACUCUAGCUCCUUAUUCACGGCAGCUUCUCUGUGGGAGAGACUUAAAGGUGGUCCAUUCUGAAUGUGACUGUUUCCCCAGAAUGGGUGAAUAUGUGACUGGAAUAACUGGGUGUCUCUGAGGAGCAUUCUCUGGGCCACUUUCUUCCUUUCACACCCCAUGAGCAAGGCCAGGCCCACCAUCAUCUCUCUGGCCUGUAAAGCAAGGCAAACUCCAGCAAGGGUCUGCUUCUCCAUUCCCAAGGUGACAGAAUUGGAGACCAGCAGAACAGGAGUUCCCCAGGGAGAAGGAGGGCACAGGCUCUGGGAGGAAGGGUUUGAGUCCCAGCUGCCAGGCUUGAGAAGGCUCCCCUCAGGGCUGUGGUUCCAUCCACAGGUACUGAGGACAAGGACAGAAGGUCAGAGAUCAGGUGACAAAAAAUGCCACCAAUGCUUUCAUGAUUCAAAAGUGCCUGCUGUUGACUUAUAAUGUUGAAAAAUAAUUAGUUGAAAAACUAAUAUCCUAUCAGUUUCAGGUUUACAUCAUAGUGAUUUAAUAUUUUUAUACAUUAUGAAAUGAUGUGAUAUCUAGUUAUCAUCUGUCAUCACACAAAGUUAUUACAAUAAUAUUGACUAUAUUUCCCAUGCUGUACAUGACAGCCUCAUGGACUUUAUUCAUUUGUUUUAUUUUUUAGAUUCCACAUAUAAGUGAAGUUGUAUGAUAUUUGUCUUUCU